CCUUAACCUCGGCUAUAAAGCAUGCUGAGGCGGAGUCCCCUCGUUUCAGGCUCUUCAGUGUCAGUGCUCAGUAUCUGCCUUAGAGAACUACGAGAAGGGGCUGCUAGCAGCCGCCAUCCGGGGCACUGGGUGGCUGCAGGUGGUGGUGGCGAUGGAACGGUAGGAGGGCGGCCAGCAGCGGGAGCUUCUCCUGCCGGGCAGGAGGACGAGUAGAAGGGAGAGGCACCACCACAUGCUGGAGGCUGGAGCUUGCACCGCCGCAGCUCGCCUCACUGCAGUUGGAGGUGACGUUGGACACUACAGCUUGGCCAGAGUGGUAGAAAUGUUGUUGCAUAGGAUUACCAGGAGACACCAGGUGCUGCAGCAGCUUCGGGAUAACUUGAGGAUGCAUCCUGGGGAAGAGACACCUCUUGUCCAUGGCGCUGACUACUGAGGACAGCUUCGGUGUGGCUUUUCUGCGGCCAGCUUCUUUGAGGCCUUUUUCUUUCAUGGAUGGUAGAGAGCAGUCUACAGCCUGAGACCCAUCACAAGGUUCCUUGUGAGACACCUGGGGGACUCCAAACAGCCGGAAUCCAUCUGCCCACUGGUCCGGAGACAGGGAUCCUCCGCCUCCUUCCAGGGUUGAUGGCUCAGGAGGCCUUCUCUGCAGGGGACCAGGACACAGGAAAGCCAGGAAGAGAUGAGCUGGGAAGGGAGCUGUUGGGGGCCAUUCUGGUUUUAAAAAUAAAGCAGGACUUUCGUUGCUUGUUAUAAAAGGAACACAUGCUCAUUUUCUGUGAUUUAGGAAAGCGCAGAAAAGUAAAAGGGAAAGAAGAACGUAGCCGCUGCCUAGCACCAGGGAAAAAAGGGCUGUAGUUUUUAGUGUCUG
rnacentral:lncRNA from 10 species